GGUAUGGGAUGAGCUUGCGUCAGAUUAGCUAGUUGGCGGGGCAACGGCCCACCAAGGCGACGAUCGGUAGCCGGCCUGAGAGGGUGAUCGGCCACAUUGGGAUUGAGAUGCGGCCCAGACUCCUACGGGAGGCAGCAGUAGGGAAUAUUGCACAAUGGGGGAAACCCUGAUGCAGCAACGCCACGUGUGGGAAGAAGCAUUUCGGUGUGUAAACCACUGUCAUGAGGGAAUAAGGCCUGUCUUCGGGCAGGAUUGAAUGUACCUUGAGAGGAAGCACCGGCAAACUUCGUGCCAGCAGCCGCGGUAAUACGAGGGGUGCAAGCGUUGUUCGGAAUUACUGGGCGUAAAGGGAGCGUAGGCGGAGAUUCAAGCGGAUUGUACAAUCCCGGGGCCCAACCCCGGCUCUGCAGUCCGAACUGGAUCUCUUGGAUAGUUCAGGGGCAGGC
rnacentral:rRNA from 1 species